rnacentral:rRNA from 1 species
AUGCGAUACUUGGUGUGAAUUGCAGAAUCCCGUGAACCAUCGAGUCUUUGAACGCAAGUUGCGCCCCAAGCCAUUAGGCCGAGGGCACGUCUGCCUGGGUGUCACGCAUCGUUGCCCCCC